UACCAGCACCCCGAGUGGUCGGGACGUUUAUUGGGCCUAAAGCAUCCGUAGCCGGUUCUACAAGUCUUCCGUUAAAUCCAACUGCUUAACAGGUGGGCUGCGGAAGAUACUAUAGAGCUAGGAGGCGGGAGAGGCAAGCGGUACUCGAUGGGUAGGGGUAAAAUCCGUUGAUCCAUUGAAGACCACCAGUGGCGAAGGCGGCUUGCCAGAACGCGCUCGACGGUGAGGGAGUGAAA
rnacentral:rRNA from 1 species